CUCGGGAGGCUGAGGCAGGAGAAUAGCAUGAACCCGGGAGGCGGACUUGCAGUGAGCCGAGAUCGCACCACUGCACUCCAGCCUGGGCAACAGAGCGAGACUCCGUCUCAAAAAAAAUUAAUAAAUAAAUAAAAAAUAAAACCACAACAAUAAUAUCAUGUUGAAUUAAUAAAUUUACAUAUACUUAAAAUGCAGAACAAUAGCAUAUAUCAAGAGAGGAUUAAGUGAAAAGAAAGUAUUUUAAGGUCCUCAAUGGUCCAGGAAGUUAAUGGUGUUGAUCAACAUUAGACUUUGAUAAGAUAAAGAUGUAUGUGAUCAGUUGUAGAGCAAACACUAAAAAAUAGAUAUACAGUUAUAAUUUUCAACCUAAUGGAGAAAACUAAUGGGAAAUUUUUAAAAAAUCAAUCCAAAGAAAUUAAGAAGAAAAAAACAGCAAGCAGCACAAAUAACACAAAAUAACAUCAUAUAUUUAAAUCUAAAUUUUAUCAGUAAUUCACUUAAAUAUAAAUAAAUUGUUCCAGUUAAAAGGUAAAUAUUGUCAAACUGAGAAGCAAAUCUAAUUGUGUGUUGCUUAUGAGGAAAACAGGCAUUUCAUAAUAAAAUUAAUGGAAGUAUAAAUUGGGAAGGUACUUUGGACCCUUCCAAGGUAUUUUCAAUGAACAAACUACCAAGACUUUAACAUACGCUUCGAGCCAGGAAUUUCACUUAUUGCAAUUUACCAUCCAGUUUUGCUCUUAUUCAUGCACAAAGAUGAACAUGUGAGACUGUUAUUGCAGUGUAGUCUAUAACAGCAGAGGACUGGUCUUCGUGUAACUACUUACCAUCAGGAACCUAGUUACGUCGUAAUAAUCUAUAUAAUGGUACAUUCUUCAACAAUAAAAAAAAUAAAUGAAGUAUAUCUUUAUGUGCUGAUAGAAAAAGAUAUCCAAGCUGUAUUACAAAGUAGAAAAGAAUAAGAUGCCAAGCAAUCUGUAGGGUAUAAUCCUUUCUGUAUAAUAGAAUAUAUUAAUGUAUACAUUUUGCUUAUUCAUGAAUGAAGCAUUUAGGAAGAAUACACAAACACAUACCCAAAACAGGCAAGGGUGGUUUCCCCAGAGAAGGAGACUGCAGACGGCAGGAGGAAGGGAAAGAGAUAAAAUAUUUAAAUUGUGUGUACAACUUUUAUAUAAUAAAAUAAUACAAAAAUGAUGUAAAAAUUUUCUUUUGUCACAGUAAGGAGUUUUGCAAUUGAAAGCUGUCUCCUGGCCAGGCACGGUGGCUCAUGCCUGUAAUCCCAGCACUUUGGGAGGCCGAGGUGGGCAGAUCACUUGAGGUCAGGAGUUCGAGACCAGCCUGGCCAACAUGGCAAAACCCUAUCUCUACUAAAAAUACAAAAGUACAAAAGAAAAAUUUGCCGGACAUGUUGGUGCAUGCCUGUAGUCCCAGCUAUUCAGGAGGCUGAGGCAGGAGACCCGCUUGAACCCAGAAGGUGGCUGCCGAGAUUGCACCACUGCACUCCAGCCUGGGCAACAAAGGAAGACUCUGUCUCAAAAAAAAAAAAAAAAGAAAAGAAAAGAAAUAAAGCUGUCUCCUAUUUGGCUAGAGCAUCACCUUUGCCUUUCAUUUUCCAUUUCUGCCUAUCACACACACACACACACACACACACACACACACUUUCUGUCUCUCUCUCUCUCUCAUACUCAUCAUCCACAAAAGUCUUCUUCCUCCAGACUAUGCCAGAAUCCCAGCUACUCAGGAGGCUGAGGCAGGAGAAUCACCUGAACACUUAGGUAGUGUUCAUACUUGUAACAAUGUACCAGCAACAUAGGCCAGAGAAACUUUUUUUUUUUUUUUUUUGGAGACAAGGUCUGGAGCACAGUGGCAUGAUCUUGGCUCACUGCAACCUCUGCUUCCUGGGCUCAAGUGAUCCUCUCACCUUAGCCUCCCAAAUAGCUGAGACUACCAUAGGUUCUCCAUCAUGCCCAGCUAAUGUUUUUUUUUAUUUUCAGUAGAGAUGAAGUCUCACUAAGUUGCCCAAGUUGGUCUUAAACCCUGGGGCUCAAGCUAUCCUCCUGCCUCGGCCUCCUAAAGUGCUGAGAUUAUAUGUGUGAACCACCAUGCCCAGCUGCCAGGGAAACUUUAAUCACCACAAACUCAGUAUAAAGUAACUAGGUGAGAUACUGCUGUUUUAAAUAUGAUUGUCGUCUUAGGUUGCAUUGUAGAAUAAUGUGAUGGCUUUAUUCUAUUCUAUGGUGGCCAGGCCUCUGCAUUCAUUUCAAGCAACACUUGGCCAGGCUUGAUGAUGUAUGCCUAUAAUCCCAGCACUGUGGGAUGCCGAGGUAGCGGGAUCACUUGAGCCCAGGAGUUUGAGACUAGCCUGGGCAACAUAGCAAUGCCCCAUCUCAAUUGAAAAAAAAAUAAUAAAACAAACAACAUCAUUUUUAAGAUCCUUAUUAAAAUAUAAACUACAUACCGUAAAUUCACCUGUAUUAAGUGUUCAAUUCAAUGGUUUUUAACAUAUUUACAGAUGUAUGCUACUAUAGCUAUAAUCUAAUUUUAGAAGAUUUUCAUUGCCCCUAAAAGAAAUCUAGCACCCAUUAGUGGUCACUCCCCAUUUUUUGCAUCCUCCGCCCCACAUAACCAAAAAUUUUUCCUUUUUUUUUUUUGAGACAGGGUUUCACUCUGUCACUCAGGACAGAGUGCAGUGGGCAUGAUCAUGGCUCACUGCAGCCUUGAUCUCUUGGGCUCAAAUGAUCCUCUUCCCUCAGCCUCCCUAACUACUGGGAUUACAGGAGUGAGUCAUCUUGCCUGGCCAUAAGCACUAAUCUCUAUGUCUCUACAGAUUCACCUAUUCUAGAAAUUUUGUGUAAGUGAAAUCAUACAAUAUGUAGUCUUUUGUAUCUGGCUUCUUUAUCAUAAUGUUUUUGAGGUUUAUCCAUGUUGCGUGAAUCAGUACUUAUUUUAUUUUAUUUUAUUUUAGACAGAGUCUCACUCACUCGGUCACCCAGGCUGGAGUGUAGUGGUGCAAUCUUGGCUCAC
rnacentral:lncRNA from 1 species